ensembl:misc_RNA 7SK 7SK RNA
GAACGUAAGGUGAUCUGGCUAUGACAUCUGCUGUUGCAUUGACCACCAGGAUUGAUUUGGCUCAUCUGGCUGCCUAGGGGUGUCUCCUUCCUUCCUUCCAGCUCCUUGUGCAUCCUUCUCAAAGCUGGCUGCUUGGUAGAAGAGGACAACCUCCCCAAUAGAGGAAGACUGCUUCCUUGGUCAAGCAUACACAAGUAGCUGCACCCCCCGCUAGAACCUCCAAACAGCCUCCCAGCCUUCCUAGACUUCUCUCACAUCCCCCAUCUCAGGCUGAAGUGGCUUAUGUCUAG